GACGAACGCUGGCGGCGUGCUUAACACAUGCAAGUCGAACGGAAAGGCCCUGCUUGCAGGGUACUCGAGUGGCGAACGGGUGAGUAACACGUGGGUGAUCUGCCCUGCACUUCGGGUUAAGCCUGGGAAACUGGGUCUAAUACCGGAAAGGAGCCAUUUUUAGUGUGAUGGUUGGAAAGUUUUUUCGGUGUAGGAUGAGCUCGCGGCCUAUCAGCUUGUUGGUGGGGUAAUGGCCUACCAAGGCGGCGACGGGUAGCCGGCCUGAGAGGGUGGACGGCCACAUUGGGACUGAGAUACGGCCCAGACUCCGACGGGAGGCAGCAAGGGGGAAUAUUGCACAAUGGGCGGAAGCGUGAUGCAGCGACGCCGCGUGGGGGAUGACGGCCUUCGGGUUGUAAACUCCUUUCGCUAGUGACGAAGCUUUUUGUGACGGUACCUAGAUAAGAAGCACCGGCUAACUACGUGC
rnacentral:rRNA from 1 species